AACAAAUCAGUUAAGAUCUGAGCUUGGUGAAGUGGAAACCAAAUAAAUGAUAGCAGUAGGUUCCGUCAAAUACGGAAAGGAGGAAACUACGCAUUUAUUUUAAGAGUUGAUUAUUGCUUAAAGAAUGUGUUUCAAUAAGAUAUUGAUUUUCGGACAUACAACUUAAUCAUCAACUUUGCUUGUUACCAAAAAAUGAUUUAAUAUCACCAUCUGCUUCGCUUCUUACACCCUCAUAUAACGUCCAAUUUGUUAUGACGUCAUUGUUGACUGUAGAAAAGACUACAACUGACAAUUUAGUGCCGUCUCAAACCACUCCGAUAAACUUGUGAGACUUAAAGUGUACGUACAUCAAUGGGAGUAUAUUUCUGAGCACAUGAAUGACAUGAACACAGGUGGUUGAUAUUUUACAACAAAAAGUUCAUUCAUGAAACUUGAAUCGACCUUGAUCUUGAAACUAAGACCAGCGACCCACAUGCCCAAAUUCGUUUGAAACGUCUCAAAAAGAGUUGCGGAAAUUUUCAUGGACUAUUGGGGUAGUAUACUUACACUGAAUAUGCACUUCAAGUUUUGAUUUAAUUUUUACAUGCAAAAAGCAAGCCUGGUACAUAAGCCUAUGGCGUAAAUAAGAUAUAUACAUAUAUGUAUGUUUAUAGCAGAAGAUAAGUGGGAGUGUGGACUGAUGGCUCCUUUCCACAGAUCUGGCUGAUGAUGGUAAAUAAAAUUGCAGUAAUUUUCUUUAAACAAGUAUCAAAUUUCUUCUCUAGUUUUUUGUAUUUGCUUUACUUUUAAUUAUUCAAUAAAUAUACAUUUAUCUUA